GUGCUUGCUUCAGCAGCACAUAUAAUAAAAUUGGAAUGAUACGAGAAAAGAUUAGCAUGGCCCCCGCGCAAAGAUGACAUGCAAAUUUGUGAAACAUUCCAUAUNNNN
rnacentral:snRNA from 1 species